GUCCACGCCGUAAACGAUGGAUGCUAGCCGUUGGACAGCUUGCUGUUCAGUGGCGCAGGUAACCCUUUAAGCAUCCCGCCUGGGGAGUACGGUCGCAAGAUUAAAACUCAAAGGAAUUGACGGGGGCCCGCACAAGCGGUGGAGCAUGUGGUUUAAUUUGAAGCAACGCGCAGAACCUUACCAGCCUUUGACAUGUCCCGUAUGGAUCGCAGAGAUGCUUUCCUUCAGUUCGGCUGGCGGGAACACAGGUGCUGCAUGGCUGUCGU
rnacentral:rRNA from 1 species